AGACUAUUCCGGAGAGACAGAGGACCAAGGUCGCGAACUCUGCUAUAUAAAGUCCGCUCUGAGAUGAGCCUGGGUAUCAGUUGAAACAACCUCUUCUCUAGAGCAACGAAACCUCAACACUCAUCAUGAAGUUGAUCAGUCUCGCACUGGCUCUCCUGCUGGUCUUGUCCGCCGUCCUGUCGCCCAGCCAAGCCUCGCCGUACGCCCGAGCAGACCCGAAUCCGUUCUUCUUCAAAAAGAAGUAUGGCUAUGGCAGCUAUGGCUAUGGCGGCUAUGGCCUACGGCGGUUAUGGCCACGGCGGUUAUGGCCACGGCGGAUAUGGCGGUUAUAGCCACGGCGGUUAUGGCGGUUACGGCGGUUACGGCAUAAGGAAAUACUGGUGAAGGAAGAGACAGGCAGACUCCUCAAGCAAGAUGUUGAAGAGCUAAGAUUUUCACUCGCUCUACGGAAAACAAUUAUCUCGUCGAUAAAUAUUAAAUGAAAUGAACUAAAGAUUUUUUUUUUCUUUUUUUGGAAAUAAGAAAAUAAAAUGUGUACCUAA